rnacentral:tRNA from 1 species
GUGGGUAUAGCCCAGUGGUAGGGUGCGUGAUUAGCACGUGCAGGGUCCUUGGUUCAAUCCCCAGUACCUCCA